ACACAGUCACGUUCUACCUCGCGGCGCUCCGCCCUGCCCCACCCACCUCCUGCCAAGCCCCACGCGCCGCCGGCCGCCUCAUGCCCCCCUCCCCAAUCGUCGGCCGGCUCCUGCCACGUCAUGGGGAAAAAAGGGGCGCCCGCAUCCUCCCACCCACACUCCUGCGCUCGCCUCGCCCCCACGGUUUCGCCUCGCUUGGCACCGGCGGCAGGCCAUCCCGCCACCCGACUCGCCUCACCUGCACCGGAGGCGGCCGGUGGCAGGUCGAUCUCCCCUCCCCCUCCCCCACCAUCCUCACCGCUCCCUCCCUUACCUCAGCCCGAUCUAGACACCUAACCCCUCCCUCCCCUCUCUGAGCAUAGCAUGCUUCAUCGACGGCUCCUUCGGGCCGGAUCAAGGCGCGGAGACCCAUGCUCCCCUCAUCUGAGAGAAAACACUCUGGUUGCAGGUAGAGUUGGAAAUCAAAGUCCAUAGAGAUGCAUAUGUCAUGGGCGAAUGCAUGAUGUAAUUGAAUCCAGUCGACCUUCAGACUUGGUUCUCUGCUGGGGUGAAGGGUGUGAAGUGUUUUGCCGAGAUGCAGAUUCAGAGGCCUUUUUCUUUCCAAUUUGUACAUGCUCUGCAAUUCAGAACUGGUUUUACUUUUCCUUAAAGAAACUGAUUUAAAUUUUUGCUGGCUCCUAAAGGGCGCUGGUUCAGGCCGAUGUGCGCUUCGCCAAAUGAAGGAGCAGGCAUCCACUGAGAAGAAAUUCAUCUGAGCUCUCAAGUUGAAGUCAAACUGGCCAGCUAAGUUUCAAAGGUAACAUCUACUCCCUCUGUCUCAAAAUAUAAGAUUUUUUUGUCUAUAUAUACUGAGAUAGAGGGAGUAUAUAAUACAGCAACUAAGAUGAUAGUUUGAUGUGUAGACUGGAAGAAAUCACACACAAUAGAUGCAGUUGGUAUUUUGGAAAUAAAGGCAGAGGUUUAAAUUGAGAACUAGGACUAAUUGGUUCAAAAUUUAUACAUGUACCCAACAUGAAUACUGCAGUCUUUGUCAUAAGAUUUCCAAUGGUACUGAUUUUUUUCAUCUGAAUUAUUAUCUUUUAAAAGUAGAGCAAGAACAGGAUGUUGUCUAUCAGUUUGACCAAGGGCAAAAUUUCAUUUGGCAUCAAUAUAUCUAUUUCGAGAUAGAAAGAAUUUGAGGAUAAUCAUGUUCCAGUAUGAGACGUGGCUCAACGAUAAUUGCAUCCCCAAUGCCAAGCCCACCGAGUUCACUAAAAGCAAUAAGCAGGAGAUCACCAUGACGCAUAUCGCCAUCACAUUCAGACCCAAAUAUCUGGGAGCUGAGGUGUGGACAUGAUUAACAGGGCAGGGCAAAGUCAAGCCCCAGGGUGGUGGUGACGACAAUGGUGGCCUACACGCUACGGGGCUAGCAGCGUGGCAGGCAAUAGUGCGCGGCAUUUCACGGUGGUGCGCGUGGCCAGUGCUCGUGGCGACUGUGGAUGAUGAAGUACUGGACCUGCGGUGAAUGACCAUCCGCAAGAUCUACAUCAUCAUCUUUGGGUCAGUUCACCUUGAAAGCCAUUCGGUGAUACGAGGUUGUUCGAAUAUUAUGUUUUCUGAUUUUUGCACAUGGGACUGUUAGUGCUAAUGCUACAACUGAAACCUAAAAAUUUCUACUUACCAGUUACCAUGCACGACCAACUAUGGUGCCAAGAGUUGACAUCCAGCUUGCACACAUUAGCAGUAAUUUCUACACACAUUUGAAAUUGUCUUAUUGGGAUAAAAUAAAGUAUUUUCCACGGGAUUCACA